rnacentral:rRNA from 1 species
AGAGUUUGAUCCUGGCUCAGAUUGAACGCUGGCGGCAGGCCUAACACAUGCAAGUCGAGCGGUAGCACAGAGAGCUUGCUCUCGGGUGACGAGCGGCGGACGGGUGAGUAAUGUCUGGGAAACUGCCUGAUGGAGGGGGAUAACUACUGGAAACGGUAGCUAAUACCGCAUAACGUCGCAAGACCAAAGUGGGGGACCUUCGGGCCUCAUGCCAUCAGAUGUGCCCAGAUGGGAUUAGCUGGUAGGUGGGGUAACGGCUCACCUAGGCGACGAUCCCUAGCUGGUCUGAGAGGAUGACCAGCCACACUGGAACUGAGACACGGUCCAGACUCCUACGGGAGGCAGCAGUGGGGAAUAUUGCACAAUGGGCGCAAGCCUGAUGCAGCCAUGCCGCGUGUGUGAAGAAGGCCUUCGGGUUGUAAAGCACUUUCAGCGGGGAGGAAGGCGGUGAGGUUAAUAACCUCACCGAUUGACGUUACCCGCAGAAGAAGCACCGGCUAACUCCGUGCCAGCAGCCGCGGUAAUACGGAGGGUGCAAGCGUUAAUCGGAAUUACUGGGCGUAAAGCGCACGCAGGCGGUCUGUCAAGUCGGAUGUGAAAUCCCCGGGCUCAACCUGGGAACUGCAUUCGAAACUGGCAGGCUAGAGUCUUGUAGAGGGGGGUAGAAUUCCAGGUGUAGCGGUGAAAUGCGUAGAGAUCUGGAGGAAUACCGGUGGCGAAGGCGGCCCCCUGGACAAAGACUGACGCUCAGGUGCGAAAGCGUGGGGAGCAAACAGGAUUAGAUACCCUGGUAGUCCACGCUGUAAACGAUGUCGAUUUGGAGGUUGUGCCCUUGAGGCGUGGCUUCCGGAGCUAACGCGUUAAAUCGACCGCCUGGGGAGUACGGCCGCAAGGUUAAAACUCAAAUGAAUUGACGGGGGCCCGCACAAGCGGUGGAGCAUGUGGUUUAAUUCGAUGCAACGCGAAGAACCUUACCUGGUCUUGACAUCCACAGAACUUUCCAGAGAUGGAUUGGUGCCUUCGGGAACUGUGAGACAGGUGCUGCAUGGCUGUCGUCAGCUCGUGUUGUGAAAUGUUGGGUUAAGUCCCGCAACGAGCGCAACCCUUAUCCUUUGUUGCCAGCGGUCCGGCCGGGAACUCAAAGGAGACUGCCAGUGAUAAACUGGAGGAAGGUGGGGAUGACGUCAAGUCAUCAUGGCCCUUACGACCAGGGCUACACACGUGCUACAAUGGCAUAUACAAAGAGAAGCGACCUCGCGAGAGCAAGCGGACCUCAUAAAGUAUGUCGUAGUCCGGAUUGGAGUCUGCAACUCGACUCCAUGAAGUCGGAAUCGCUAGUAAUCGUAGAUCAGAAUGCUACGGUGAAUACGUUCCCGGGCCUUGUACACACCGCCCGUCACACCAUGGGAGUGGGUUGCAAAAGAAGUAGGUAGCUUAACCUUCGGGAGGGCGCUUACCACUUUGUGAUUCAUGACUGGGGUGAAGUCGUAACAAGGUAACC